GCGGCUUGGGUCUGCCCCUGGCAUUGCUGAAGUCCAUGGGCGACGGUAACCACUCACCAUCAGGUGGGCCGUAUGCUCGUCAGCCUACAAGGGCAAUAAAAAAAAAAAGAUAGAAACCGUGGAAUUGACUGAAUUUUUUUCGUAUUCGACUUAUGGAGUCAUGGACAACACAGAUUACCCAGCUUGAGGCAUGAGGUCUAAUUCCGGUUGUAUUGUAAUAACAAUUAUGACACCGUGAAGACAAAAAAUGUAAAUAUAAAUAAGAAGUUUUUUUUU